CUCUCUCUCUAUUGCUCUUGUUCUUGUAUUAUUGUUCUUGGUCUUUAUAUUAUUUCAUAACAGAUCAGGUAAUUUACCUAUUUUUAACUUUUAUAAAUUGACAACGUAUAUGAAUUUGUACUCUACCAGGUCAACUAUAAAGAUAAUUACAGAUAACUAACAAUAAUAAGCGGAAUUAAUAAUCUAAAAUAUAACAUGCAAUAUGCUAUAAUAGGUUAAAUUAUACUGAUAGUAUAAAAAUUUGUUUAUCCCAACAUUACAACUUCUCUUUAUUUUAUCCGUCUCCGGGAUAUCUUUAAAGAUUAAGGGUCUGUUCGAUAUGUUUUUCGAUUUUCUCAUGUUUGGUUGGUUUAAAUGUUUUGGAAAAUAUUUUUCUUAUCAACUCAUUUUCUUCCAAUUGGAGGAAAAUGUUUUCCUUAUCAAAAGAAGGGAAAAUAAUUUCCAAAGCUCAUUCUCAACUUUUUCUCACCCUCACCACCCACUCCAUCCCCUCUCCAAAAAUAAUAUUUUUUAAAUUUCAGUUUUCCCGUUACCAUCCACCCCACUACCCCUCCACCCCGCUCCCCAUCAAACAAAUAUUUCUUUUUUACCUUAAAUUAUUUUUUUUCAAUUUCAAAUUUCUUUUUUUUUAAAAUUUUUCUG
rnacentral:lncRNA from 1 species